ACGCGAAGAACCUUACCUACUCUUGACAUCCAGAGAACUUUCCAGAGAUGGAUUGGUGCCUUCGGGAACUCUGAGACAGGUGCUGCAUGGCUGUCGUCAGCUCGUGUUGUGAAAUGUUGGGUUAAGUCCCGCAACGAGCGCAACCCUUAUCCUUUGUUGCCAGCGGUUAGGCCGGGAACUCAAAGGAGACUGCCAGUGAUAAACUGGAGGAAGGUGGGGAUGACGUCAAGUCAUCAUGGCCCUUACGAGUAGGGCUACACACGUGCUACAAUGGCGCAUACAAAGAGAAGCGACCUCGCGAGAGCAAGCGGACCUCAUAAAGUGCGUCGUAGUCCGGAUUGGAGUCUGCAACUCGACUCCAUGAAGUCGGAAUCGCUAGUAAUCGUAGAUCAGAAUGCUACGGUGAAUACGUUCCCGGGCCUUGUACACACCGCCCGUCACAACCAUGGGAGUGGGUUGCAAAAGAAGUAGGUAGCUUAA
rnacentral:rRNA from 1 species